ACAUGUCCGCAUGAUUAAAGGUAUUUUCCGGUAGACGAUGGGGAUGCGUUCCAUUAGAUAGUAGGCGGGGUAACGGCCCACCUAGUCAACGAUGGAUAGGGGUUCUGAGAGGAAGGUCCCCCACAUUGGAACUGAGACACGGUCCAAACUCCUACGGGAGGCAGCAGUGAGGAAUAUUGGUCAAUGGGCGAUGGCCUGAACCAGCCAAGUAGCGUGAAGGAUGACUGCCCUAUGGGCUGUAAACUUCUUUUAUAAAGGAAUAAAGUCGGGUAUGCAUACCCGUUUGCAUGUACUUUAUGAAUAAGGAUCGGCUAACUCCGUGCCAGCAGCCGCGGUAAUACGGAGGAUCCGAGCGUUAUCCGGAUUUAUUGGGUUUAAAGGGAGCGUAGAUGGAUGUUUAAGUCAGUUGUGAAAGUUUGCGGCUCAACCGUAAAAUUGCAGUUGAUACUGGAUGUCUUGAGUGCAGUUGAGGCAGGCGGAAUUCGUGGUGUAGCGGUGAAAUGCUUAGAUAUCACGAAGAACUCCGAUUGCGAAGGCAGCCUGCUAAGCUGCAACUGACAUUGAGGCUCGAAAGUGUGGGUAUCAAACAGGAUUAGAUACCCUGGUAGUCCACACGGUAAACGAUGAAUACUCGCUGUUUGCGAUAUACGGCAAGCGGCC
rnacentral:rRNA from 1 species